ACUCCUACGGGAGGCAGCAGUGGGGAAUAUUGCACAAUGGGCGCAAGCCUGAUGCAGCCAUGCCGCNGUGUGUGAAGAAGGCCUUCGGGUUGUAAAGCACUUUCAGUCAGGAGGAAAGGUUAGUAGUUAAUACCUGCUAGCUGUGACGUUACUGACAGAAGAAGCACCGGCUAANNCCNGG
rnacentral:rRNA from 1 species